GAACCAGCAUGGCACACUGGCUUGAGUGUUGGGCUUUGACUCUGGAGGCCAGGGUUCAAAUCCCUGCUGGGCCA